UACGGAGGAUCCGAGCGUUAUCCGGAUUUAUUGGGUUUAAAGGGUGCGCAGGCGGGAGAUUAAGUCGGCGGUGAAAUUUUGCAGCUCAACUGUAAAAGUGCCUUCGAAACUGGUUUCCUUGAGUGUAGAUGAAGUAGGCGGAAUUUGUGGUGUAGCGGUGAAAUGCAUAGAUAUCACGAGGAACUCCGAUUGCGCAGGCAGCUUACUAAACUACUACUGACGUUCAGGCACGAAGGCGUGGGGAUCAAACAGGAUUAGAUACCCUGGUAGU
rnacentral:rRNA from 1 species